rnacentral:lncRNA from 1 species
GACGGAGGUGGUAUAAGAAGGGAGGGAUGAGUUGUGCAAAGGUUUAUAUAUAUCUAUGUAAGUGUAAGUGCUUGUAUGUAUGUGUGCGUGUGCGUGUGACCGCAGUAUGCAAGGGCUAACAUCUGUGCCGAGUUACGUGCAUGAUGGCAAGACUAACAAGUGGCAGUAAGUCGAAUAGUGAGGUCGAGGCACGGGUCUUUGCUGCCGUGUGUUUGCGAGUGUGAGUGUGGCGUCUGGUGGGAGAUUCUGAGGUUAAAAAACAUCUGGGAUUUCCUUAUAAGAGCGGCAAGCAGAAGUUGCUUGUGGUGCAGCGAUCUUGUGAGUCACAGUGACGGUGUGGUGACGUGGUGACAUGGUGAUCCCUCAAUUAGAUCACAUUUGUGGGUUAGGGUCAGCACCCCCUCCCCCUCAACCCCCACCCACCCACCCACAAAAAAGAAAAAAAAAAGGAAAUAUAUAUACAUCACGCAUUGCUUUCCUAGAAUGGCAAGAACCUCCUCGAAGGCGAACGUGCAAGAAGACGAAGCGAAAAAAGAGCGAAGAAGCAAAAGAAGGAGCGAAGCGAUGCAGAGGCAAGCGCCGAGUAGGGGAGGCUCGGACGCGGUAUAUGGGUCAUGCAGAGCUUCCCGUCGCGCGAGAGUCUGGACGGAGCGGGUAGGGAGGGUAGCCAUGCAGACCAUACCUGGGUGCCUGACGUCAUGGAUGAGGGGUAAUAUGAGUGAUAGUGAUGCAUGACGAAGCAGGCGAGGAGGAGGCAGGGUGAGGGAGCGGAGGGAGGGAUGUAGCCCUGCAUGAUGUAUGGACGGGCCGACGGCAAGGGUGAGAGGCGAGAGGCUCGUGCAUGGCAGGCUAAGGACGUGCAUGACUCUCUGCAUGUAGACAUUAAGGAGGAGGAGAGCGAGUUGAGUGCAGCUGAGUGCAUGAGUGCAUGAGUGCAUGAGGGUAUUGAUCCUGCAUGCGGGUGCGAGUGCUUGCAGGCGCCGGGGCCAGGCAGAGCGGCCAGCCACAGUUCAUGAGCGGUGCUUGCGGAGGCCGCGUGUCGCCCGCCCGUCUGCCUGCCUGCCUGCCUGCCUGCGCCGCCCUACCGCCUGUUUCUACAUGCCGGACAGCCUGGCCGCCUGCCAGCCCCCGCCCCCCGCAGUGCCAGAUGGGGGGUCACAGUGCCGGGGAUCGAGGGGAUAAGUGCCAGUCUCGCGCCCCGGGAGUGUCCGCCCCGCCCCGCCCCGCCCCCCUCCCCUCCCCCACUCGUGCGGCCGCCAGCCUGGGGGGGGGAGCCGGGGGGGCGGGAGCGCUGACCACCGCCGGCCGGCCGCCUUCGCCUCCUCCGUCCGCGUCGUCGCCGGGCAGCGCGGCGAGCGGGCGUCGCGGCUGGUCAUUGGCCUCGGCCGCGGGUCCAUGCCUGGUGGGCGCCCUGGCCGGCGGGGCGGCCUACUCGCUCUGGGCUGGGCGUGUGAGGGCGGGCGGGGGCGGAGCAGGGGCGGUGGGAGGGGCUAAGGGCGGGCCGAGGGGCGGGCCGAGGGGCGGGCCGAGGGGCGGGCCGAGGGGCGGGCAGGGCUGUGUGUGCGUGCUGUGGUGGGCGGCGGCGGUGUGCCGGGAGGAGGAGGCUGUGCUGCUGUGAAGGGGAAGUGUGAGAGGGGGAGGGCAGGGGGGAUGGGGGGGACGACAGCCCAGACGCUCCUGACAUCUGUCGGCUGUGCUUGCAAGCUCGCGCGGGAGGUACCUUCCCAAGGGGAGCCUGCAUGCAAAGUUACAAUGAAAUGAUCUAAAAUAUAAGGCAAAAGAGUGUUUUAUAUGAGAUAAUAAAGUGGUGAGUGUAUCCCUACCGUGUGGUGUUGGCAGUGCAGAGCCUUGUGACAGUGCUUGCAGUGCAACUAACGGAGAAUUUACCGGGAUUAUUGAGGAAUAUAUAGACUUCGUCAUCCUUGCACAGAGGCCAAGACAGCAGUAGUUAUAGGGGAAUAGUAGUAAUCCUAGAUCAAAACCUCCAGGGACACCGCGGAAAGAGGACGCCAAGAGGACCCCUCCCCCCCUUCCCCCCCUCCCCACCCACCCCAAGAAGAAACAAGAUGGCGAAGAGGAAGGAACCGAAGCGGAGGAACAGCAUCAUCAUCUGCCCGCUUCCCUUCUGCUACUCCUGCUUCUCCUGCUUCUCCUGCUGCUGCGUGGCCAAGGUUCUCUCACGGGCUGCCUUACUUCCUGGAAGGGUUUGACUCUGGUUUGCAAAGACGUCACGGUUAAAGAGGUCACGAUAAAGAGGGUUGAAAUAGGCUUCGAAGGGUAGAGAUAAUGGGGAAAUGUAGAGAUAAUGGGGAAAUGUAGAGAUAAUGGGGAAAUUUAUAGAUAAUGGGGAAAUUUAUAGAUAAUAAGGAAAUGUAGAGAUAAUGGGGAAAUGUAGAGAUAAUGGGGAAAUGUAGAGACGAUGGGGAAAUGAAGAGAUAAUAGGGAAAUGUAGAGAUAAUGGAGAAAUGAAGAGAUAAUGGGGAAAUGUAGAGAUAAUGGGGAAAUGUAGAGACGAUAUGGAAAUGUAGAGACGAUGGGGAAAUGUAGAGAUAAUGGGGAAAUUUAGAGAUAAUAAGGAAAUGUAGAGAUAAUGGAGAAAUAUAUAGAUAGUUGGGAAAGGUAGAGAUAAAGGGGAAAUGUCGGUCCAAAGCAAAUCACCACCAGGUCUAGAGGCUAUUCUCAUGACUUAUUGCUCCCCGUGUAUCUAUGUUAUGGUGUAUUUCAAGACUGUAAGGUGCAUGAUCGAAGUACAUGUCUAUGAUGCUAAGUAAAUUUCCAAAUAAAAGAAGAGAGAGAGGGGGGGGGGGGAGAAGAAGAGAGACAGAGAGAGGAAGGCUGAGAAACAAAAAUGUAAUGAAUAAAUUCUAUACUACGAUCAUCAGCACAGCGUCUUUUCUAAGGAGGAUACGUAAAACGAAUGAAAAACAGUAAUUAAAAGAGUGAUACAUAAUCGUACUUGCUCAUGAGAGAAGUAGAGAAAGAAGACGAGGAAGUGGCAGUGCGAAAAGAUAAAAGAUAAGAAACGUUGAUUAUAUUUCUAGCGAGACAAAGUCAAAAGAAA